rnacentral:rRNA from 1 species
UUCGGGACGCCGGCGAGUGGCGAACGGGUGAGUAACACGUGGAGACCUGCCCUGGGGUGGGGAAUAACAGCUAGAAAUGGCUGCUAAUACCGCAUACGCCUUACGAGGGAAAGAUUUAUUGCCCCAGGAGGGUUCCGCGUCGGAUUAGCUUGUUGGUGGGGUAACGGCCUACCAAGGCGACGAUCCGUAGCUGGUCUUAGAGGAUGAUCAGCCACACUGGGACUGAGACACGGCCCAGACUCCUACGGGAGGCAGCAGUGGGGAAUAUUGCGCAAUGGGGGAAACCCUGACGCAGCGAUGCCGCGUGGGUGAAUAAGGCCUUAGGGUUGUAAAGCCCUUUCAGUGGGAACGAUGAUGACGGUACCCACAGAAGAAGCCCCGGCUAACUCCGUGCCAGCAGCCGCGGUAAUACGGAGGGGGCGAGCGUUGU